GUGCUCACUUUGGCAGCAUGUAUACUGUAAUUGGAAAGAUACGGAGAAGAUUAGCAUGGCCCCGGGGCAAGGAUGACAUGCAAAUUCAUGAAGCAUAUUUUU